rnacentral:lncRNA from 1 species
GAAGAGAAGUGAUCUAUGAAGAGAAACAAAAUAAGAAAAUUGAUCAACAGUAAAACGUGGUGUGCGCUUAAGAUGGAAAGAGGUAUUUUACCAUAGGCUAAAUUCCCCAAAUCCAUUGUACCCAAGAACCAAACUAGAAAACUUUGGUAUUCUUUUCAACUUCAUUGAACAAAAGGGUGGGCAGCCAGGUGGCAGCAAACAGCAUUCUUCCAUCUCCGCUCAGGUGGCAGCAAACAGCAUUCUUCCGUCUCCGCACUGCAAAUUCAGAAUUUCGGGAGCAAAUCAAACUACAUAACAAAUAAAAAAACUAAACAGAAAUCACAUAAAGAAGCAUCA